CUGCUAGUGAGUGAGCUUGUCUGUGUUGGUCUGCUAGUGAGUGAGCUUGUGUGUGUGUGCCUGCUAGUGAGUGAGCUUGUGUAUGUAUGUGCGCCUGCUAGUGAGUGAACUUGUGUGUAUGCCUGCUAGUGAGUGAGCUUGUGUGUGUGUCUGCUAGUGAGUGAGCUUGUGUGUGUGUGUGCCUACUAGUGAGUGACCUUGUGUGUGUGUGCCUGCUAGCAUGUGUGUGUGUGCCAGCUAGCAUGUGUAUGUCAGUGAGCUUGUUUGUGGUGAGCAUGUCUGUGUCAGUGAGCUUGUCUGUAGUGAGCAUAUGUGUGUUAGUAAGCUUUUCUGUGC